rnacentral:rRNA from 1 species
UGGGGAAUUUUGGACAAUGGGGGCAACCCUGAUCCAGCCAUGCCGCGUGCAGGAUGAAGGUCUUCGGAUUGUAAACUGCUUUUGUCAGGGAAGAAAAGUUUAGAGCGAAUAACUCUGAAUGCUGACGGUACCUAACCAGAAAGCCACGGCUAACUACGUGCCAGCAGCCGCGGUAAUACGUAGGUGGCAAGCGUUGUCCGGAAUUAUUGGGCGUAAAGCGCGCGCAGGUGGUUUAGAAAGUCUGAUGUGAAAGCCCACGGCUCAACCGUGGAGGGUCAUUGGAAACUAAUAAACUUGAGUGCAGGAGAGAAAAGUGGAAUUCCUAGUGUAGCGGUGAAAUGCGUAGAGAUUAGGAGGAACACCGGUGGCGAAAGCGGCUUUUUGGCCUGCAACUGACACUGAGGCGCGAAAGCGUGGGGAGCAAACAGG